CAGUCGCCGUGUGUGCCGUAGAGGCUGCUGUCGCGGACGGAAGAAUGAAGCUGCUAGCAAAGAAAAAGCGAACGGCCAAGCAGUUCUGCUGUGUUCCUCGGUGCGUGCCAGCGAGAUGGAAGGACAGCGAUAUUUCCGUUCACGCACUUCCCUCCGAGUGGAAAGGUUGAAGCCGCAGAACCAGGUGGAUCGCUAACCUCCGCAUCGGCAAGGCUGUGACGCUUACAGUGACUGUUUGCUCACGGCAUUUUGCACGGGAUAAUUUCUCCUUACCAGAUGUAGCAUGUCAAAGACAGCGGCUGAAAAAAAUGCAGUACCAACUGAAAACCUGCCAAGGACGUCAUGUUAUGGUGAGAACAAGGAUGCUCAUAUGAAAGAGCUUUCACUGGCAAGACUUCGCCGACGUGUGUAUCGGUCAGCCAGAAAUGAAUCAAGCAAAGAAACUGUUGCCUCCCCAUUAGAAGCAAAGGUGUUGCCCCAUGCACCUGUCAGCAUGACCACCAUGGUAAAUUGGCUGCCUGCAACUUGUGCACACAUUGCUUCACCACUAAUUCCUUGGGAUUAAACUCUGACAUUGCAGGACGAUCUCCCAUCCCCUGACCGCAACAACAUGGACCAAAUAAGUGACAAAGGAAAUAUGGAAUGUGCUUGCCAACCUGGCCUCCAGACAUUAAUGGCAGAGUACUCAAGAGAAGAAAAAGACGUGGCAAAUUUCCUACUAGAAAUGGCUUCACGGACACGGCUUACAGAAAGCAAGGCUGCCCAAGUGACAUCGGGUACUUUUCCACAGAAGUUUGUGAACACGAUAAAUAGUAGCAACGUAAAUACAUUCACAGGCCUGCCAUCAUUCGAUGUUCUGAAUGCUCGUGUGACGUGCUACACAAAAAUUCAUCCACUUUCAGGACGGCACCAGUUAUGUGUAAAAACAAUUGCAUUGACAUUGGUGAAAUUGAAGCAUAUUUCCACUGCAUUCUUGAGUCACCUUUUUAACUGUUCUCUAACUACAUGUAGCAACAUAAUUGCAGAGACUGCUCAGUUGAUGUGUGAAAUUUUAAAAGUAACUGUGGCUGUGCCACCAAAAGAUGAAUUCCAGUGGCACGUUUGCAUAUUCGGCAUUAGGUGAUUCACCUGAAGUCGUGCCAUGGCUGGCGAUAUUGCAAGUAGCCUGUAUUGCAUAGAGGCAUUUGUGCGUGUGACCUUGGCUCCAUCAAAGCGUGGCGGCCUUGAGAGUAAGUGCGGUCUUCUGUUUGGAAAUCCAGCAUUUUUUAUGCCACUCAGCCACUUCAUACUUUUCAGACACGGUCGUUGCCAUGUGAUCUACAUGCUGCACUUGUUUGCAUUGGCCAAACCUGCAGACUUCAACUUCAACACACUUUUUGUAAAUUAGCAAU